rnacentral:rRNA from 2 species
UAACGACUCUCGGCAACGGAUAUCUCGGCUCUCGCAUCGAUGAAGAACGUAGCGAAAUGCGAUACUUGGUGUGAAUUGCAGAAUCCCGUGAACCAUCGAGUCUUUGAACGCAAGUUGCGCCCAAAGCCGUCAGGCCGAGGGCACGUCUGCCUGGGUGUCACG